rnacentral:rRNA from 1 species
CAGUAGCCGCGGUAAUACGUAGGGCGCGAGCGUUGUCCGGAAUCAUUGGGCGUAAAGCGCGUGUAGGCGGCUGAGUAAGUCUGCUGUGAAAGUCCAGGGCUCAACCCUGGAAUGUCGGCGGAUACUGCUCAGCUGGAGUACGGGAGGGGCGAGUGGAAUUCCUGGUGUAGCGGUGGAAUGCGCAGAUAUCAGGAGGAACACCUAUGGCGAAGGCAGCUCGCUGGAAUGUUACUGACGCUGAGACGCGAAAGCGUGGGGAGCAAACAGGAUUAGAUACCCCCGUAGUCCCGUCUCUUAUACA